CGUUGCACCGAGCGCCCGUUCUCUUGCUGUGCUCCGACAGAGCGACUUCUUACCCCAGGCGUUCUCCGAAGCUACGAGGCGUUGCUGGUUUCGGCGUGUCUAUCCGGCAUACUGACCCUGUCCUCACUGUCGUGACCAGUCGCUGGACGUCCUCACCUUUCGUCCGCCACCUGGGAUUCAAAAACCAUGGGCGGUGAACCGGCCUCCGGAGACGUCAGCCUUUAAAAUCCUGGUCGGCAUCGCCGCAAUCCUAACAGCGGGCGUGGUCGCCAUCGCUCUCACUUGGUAUCUCUUGAAAGAAACGCCAGCCGAAAAGGAGCCGCCGAAACCACUGACGACUACUAAGAAGUCGACCCCGUUGCCGACCACGUUGCCGAUCACCCCCAGCUUGACGACGACAGUUGCACCAGUCGUACGAGGGCCGCCGAUGAUCUGCACGUACAACAUUCAAAAAUUCUCAGGGAAGUCGACGCUCCCAAGUGACGGCGUUUGCGACCAGAUAUACCUAGACUCUGUGUGCCGAUUCCCGCCCUGCAGCACAGGUGCAGAAUGGGACCUCACAGCAUAUCUCAGUGACUUUCUCCAAAUUGCUAAAGAUGCAAGAACCGGCAACAACUGAACAAGGCUGCGCCUUGUUCUUACCACAUUAGCGCACUUACCAGCGCUUACCACAUUAUCGCGAGAACGUAGCCAUUUCUUCAGAGAACUAUAAAGAACGGAUACUAUAAAACAGCGUAAACGACGCAUCACUGAAUAUCAGAGCAAUUAUACACGCAUGCGCAUCAGGCGAACACGCCGGCCGUGAAGAGCUAUUCGUGUGAGCCUGCUUCUAAAUCGCUAAAUGGAAAUAAGAGUGGGGCACAUUACGCACUGUGCUAUCAAAAACAUGGCUGCUUAUGAAGAAAGGCGAUUACUUUUUCCAGAAAGACCCAGGAUGCCUGCCUAACGCGGAAUUCAUUUCCACUUUCUCUGUGAUGUGCUUCGAGUUCUGCGCACUCUACAUCCUGUCGCAGAUGUGUGCCUACACGGAAAGAGUAAAGAAUUUAAACUUCACCAUCGCCGUGUACGACAUUCAUGCCGACGCGUCAUCAGACCCGUGCAAUGAGACCAAAUACAUGGGUCAGUACAGUAGGUUGAAGCUGCUCCACAAGCUGGUGGACUUCAUGGAGAAGUACGCCAACGAGAAGGACUGCGAUAGUUUCUCCUAGCAAGUGUUGACAUUCGCUUCGGUGCGUGUCGUAGGGAAACGACCUUAUGCCUGAUCGCCUACUAUGAUUAUUGGUGAAGACUACACAUUUAUUUGUGUUCGUAUAUACAUCUUCCUUCUAUAAUGUAGCUACCCUGUACUAUUUAAGCCUCAUGUAUACUGUACAUUAGUUUCAUAAGAGAGUCCUUGUGUAAAGACUCCAUUGUGUGAUAGAAUACGUCGGUCAUUUCAUUGCGAUCACUGCCUUAUGUAUUUCUUUUUUUCGACAUGCGAAAUUAAUUGAAUGUCCGUUGUUCAAUAGGAAAAGAAGAAAUACAAAAAUGCGCUAAAACGUAUUGCCAUCUAAUUGGUAAAAGAGACAGUACGAAGCUCUUAGAAUCGUAAGCAAGAGGAAAUACAAAGGUCACAAAAGUAAGGGCAAUCAAGAAAAAAAAAGAAAAAACAAACAAUACGAGGCACGUGUCAAUGGGCAUUUUGCUUAGCAAGUUGUAUAGUUAAAUUAUCGUAAAACUUUAUUUAUUACAAUAUCAUUGAAAUUAUAUUAUCACCAUAGGCUGCCACAUUUUCAACAAAACGGUUAGAAAAGCAGCACACAUACUUUUACAUUUAUGAAUAAAGUGAGAAAAGUAACAAAGAAAGAAGCACACAAAUAGGCAGAAUAUUACACACAGCUCGUAAAAAUAACAUUACCAACGCUUGCUCCCAACAAUAGGGUCGCAAACAUUUCGAACGUACAAAUCAGAAAGCAGACUAUAAGGUUAAAUAAGUGUAUAACAUUGCAACACUUGGGCGUGCUUUCGCACAUCGUAGCUAUGGAUGUAACAUCAAUCUGGAGAGAAAAAUACCCAAAUAACUAAACUUAACCAUCAGCUUUACAAAAUAACCAAACAUAACCUCGGAGGCGUAAGUAGAUAAGCGUAGAUCACCUUCCAAAAAGCGCUACUGAGCGGCAUUAUUCUAUCAUGCUGGUAAUAACAGGAUCUGUAUCCAUUAGCUGAGGAACCAUGUGUGCAAGUUUUUGCCUGCCGUGAUUUGACCGGAUUCUCUUAGUCUACAGUUAGCGCAUGUUAAACUAUAGGAAUGUUAUUUCCAAAAGUAAGCUUCACGGAAUGCAUUCUUGCUUCAGGUGAUUUGGUCAUAAAUAUUUGUCCCCAUUAUAUUGUAAAAAUAUUUUAAAACGUUACAUUGUGG